rnacentral:rRNA from 1 species
CCUACGGGAGGCAGCAGUGAGGAAUAUUGGUCAAUGGACGGAAGUCUGAACCAGCCAAGCCGCGUGCAGGAAGACGGUACUAUGAGUUGUAAACUGCUUUUGUACGAGGGUAAACAUGAAUACGUGUAUUCAGCUGAGAGUACUGUACGAAUAAGCAUCGGCUAACUCCGUGCCAGCAGCCGCGGUAAUACGGAGGAUCCAAGCGUUAUCCGGAUUUAUUGGGUUUAAAGGGUGCGUAGGCGGAGUGUUAAGUUAGAGGUGAAAUGCCCGGGCUUAACCCGGGAACUGCCUUUAAAACUGGUAGUCUAGAGAGUAGGAGAGGUAGGCGGAAUGUGCGGUGUAGCGGUGAAAUGCAUAGAGAUCAUACAGAACACCGAUUGCGAAGGCAGCUUACC